rnacentral:rRNA from 1 species
CAGUAGCCGCGGUAAUACGUAGGGCGCAAGCGUUAUCCGGAAUUAUUGGGCGUAAAGAGCUCGUAGGCGGUUUGUCGCGUCUGCCGUGAAAGUCCGGGGCUCAACCCCGGAUCUGCGGUGGGUACGGGCAGACUAGAGUGAUGUAGGGGAGACUGGAAUUCCUGGUGUAGCGGUGAAAUGCGCAGAUAUCAGGAGGAACACCGAUGGCGAAGGCAGGUCUCUGGGCAUUAACUGACGCUGAGCAGCGAAAGCAUGGGGAGCGAACAGGAUUAGAUACCCCUGUAGUCUGUCUCUUAUACAC